UACGUAGGUGGCAAGCGUUGUCCGGAUUUACUGGGCGUAAAGGGCGUGCAGGCGGUUUGUUAAGUGCAGGGUGAAAGCCCCGGGCUCAACCUGGGAAUGGCCGUUGAAACUGGCGAACUGGAGUGUGGCAGAGGGGGGUGGAAUUCCGCGUGUAGCAGUGAAAUGCGUAGAGAUGCGGAGGAACACCGAUGGCGAAGGCAGCCCCCUGGGCUAACACUGACGCUCAGGCACGAAAGCGUGGGGAGCAAACAGG
rnacentral:rRNA from 1 species